rnacentral:rRNA from 1 species
AUUGAACGCUGGCGGCAGGCCUAACACAUGCAAGUCGAGCGGAUGAAGGGAGCUUGCUCCUGGAUUCAGCGGCGGACGGGUGAGUAAUGCCUAGGAAUCUGCCUGGUAGUGGGGGAUAACGUCCGGAAACGGGCGCUAAUACCGCAUACGUCCUGAGGGAGAAAGUGGGGGAUCUUCGGACCUCACGCUAUCAGAUGAGCCUAGGUCGGAUUAGCUAGUUGGUGGGGUAAAGGCCUACCAAGGCGACGAUCCGUAACUGGUCUGAGAGGAUGAUCAGUCACACUGGAACUGAGACACGGUCCAGACUCCUACGGGAGGCAGCAGUGGGGAAUAUUGGACAAUAGGCGAAAGCCUGAUCCAGCCAUGCCGCGUGUGUGAAGAAGGUCUUCGGAUUGUAAAGCACUUUAAGUUGGGAGGAAGGGCAGUAAGUUAAUACCUUGCUGGUUUGACGUUACCAACAGAAUAAGCACCGGCUAACUUCGUG